rnacentral:rRNA from 1 species
ACGGAGGGUGCAAGCGUUAUCCGGAUUCACUGGGUUUAAAGGGUGCGUAGGAGGGCAGGUAAGUCAGUGGUGAAAUCUCCGGGCUCAACUCGGAAACUGCCGUUGAUACUAUCAGUCUUGAAUGCCGUGGAGAUGAGCGGAAUAUGUCAUGUAGCGGUGAAAUGCUUAGAUAUGACAUAGAACACCAAUUGCGAAGGCAGCUCGUUACACGAACAUUGACUCUGAGGCACGAAAGCGUGGGGAUCAAACAGGA